CUGAAGAGCCAUUUGGCUCCAAAUUUGUGAUCGCCUGAAGCUCACAAAAGGAGAAGGAAUGAAGCUUCUCUUGUCGUUCUUACUUCUCUCCGUUACUUCUUCAGUGAUACUUCACUUAGCGAGCCGUCCUCAACCGCUCCAUUUCGUCAGUAUAUUUCAGUGGUCGUGCACAUGGCUGUUCUGCUAGGAUUUUACUCGAGGACAUUAAAUCUCAAGUGAUAGCAUCAUGCAAGGUUAAAUGACCAAUAAAGAGCUUGAGGAGGCCGUUAAAGCUUUCGGUCAAAGAGUUAGUAAAAUUUCUAGGAUAUACAGAACAUAGGUAAUGUACAUGGACAUGAGCCUGUUGACUGAGAGCUUCUUGGCAGUUUGCUAACUGGAUAAGUGAUAGUACCUGAAUGAUCCAUUUGUAACUUACAUAUUUUAUCUUUCAUUUACAUACAUAUUCAAUCUCAUUCAUAUUCACCAUGUCACAUGCAUUUAUGUUUGCUUAUAACAUUUUUAUCUAUAAAAAACAGCAUACUUUCUGCAACAGUGAAAUAUUGUGGACUUAAAACAAAAUGAAAGUUUCAAUACGACAACAUGCAUCUGUUGUUGGACUGAGUCUAUUAAUUGUUGCAAUUACAUUUCCAAACUCCAUUAUAGUUUCUUUUUCCUCCGUAUUGUAAUUCCCAGGUUUGAGAAAAGAGAUGAACUCACACUUUAAACACAAAUGGAUUUUUGUUGUUGAUUUAAGAGUUCUUAUUAUUGUUUAUGUUUUCCAAGUUUGCGCCUGUUAUGUCGCUCUCUACUCUCAGCAUCCCAAACAGUAGCAUAUCUUCUUAAUUUGAGGAUUUUCCCAUCCUCUUACCUAUGUCAAUGCCCGUAAAUAGUCGUUGGAAAUGUCUUGCAGUUGAUCUUAGGAAUACUAAAUAUUUCUUGUCAUAUGAAUAAUUUUGGAUGUAUGGAGCAAUCAUUACAUGCAUGGUGUUUCCCAGAGAUCUACCAUCUCUUUAGUUUAAUAGAGGAAUAGGUCGUCUUAACCUUUAUGCCGGAGGGGUUCCUCCUUGUCCAAUGGCACCACUAAACGCUUCGGAAGCUUCUUUCCAGGGGCUUCCCAUGUCUAAAGACGGGUCUUCUUUCCUACCAGUUUAUUGCUUUUCUCCUGCGAUCAACUGCUUUUCACCAUUAAAUGGCCCAAACCAAUUCUAUGACGUUAUACGUUCACUUGGUGUCAAUUCUUUGUCGCCAACGAUGAUGAAUAUGCACGACAACUUGAAAGUGCAUUUUAGAGUUAAUGAAUUACUCUCUUUUAAUUAAAUGGAAAUAAAUGCAUAUAUCACAUCCAUGCGUCAUGAUUCUGAAAUUAAUGAAUUGCUCUCUUUUAAAGUUCAUUUUAGAAUUUACACAAGAUUGCUGUAGGUACCCCAUGGCCCAUAUAUGGUGGCAUGAAAGACUGGAAUUAUAUAUACGGUGGCUGUUUUGAGUAGACUUUAGAGAUUACAGAAUAGAUGGCCUUCUGCUGCUAAUCAGCUUGCUACCAUUUUAGUACAACAAGUUGAGCAUGUUAAAGCUUGUUGCAAGCCUUAUUCAGACAGGAAUACAUGGAAGAAUUUUUUUCAUCAGAGUGGAAGGCCGUUACCUGCAACCAUUACACUCAGAGGAAUAGAUUACUAGGUUAAAGCUAGUCAAAAGUUUGCCGACUCUCUCACCGGUUAGCUGCACCAAGAGAGAAAUAUGAAGGUAAGUGCUUCCGUUUCCCUUUUAA